rnacentral:misc_RNA from 1 species
AAGAAAAAGAAAUCGAACAGACAUAAAUAAAAAUAAACAUCACUAAAACUAAAGUUUGUAGGCAACAAAAAACAAUCAGCUUACUGGUCUUUUCCCACACCAAGGAUCCACUGUGCAAGAUGAGUCAAGUAUGGUUCUGCUCGAGAGCCACUGCUUAAUAUCGGUCCCAGGCUGUGAAGCUCAAAAGAAAAUUCCUUCUCAAAUUUCAGAACGGAUUCUAAUACUGUGACGUUUUCAGGAGCUAGUCUCAGCAUCUGAUAUGGGGUCCUUAGUUUCAAGUUCUUAUAUUUUUCUAUACUGGGAGAAUCAUUAGACAAUGUGUCAUUGUCGGUAGUAUCCAACGAGGAGGUAAUCAGCCGUUGCAUUGCAGCUGCGUAUUGCAGACAUAUUAAUUUCAACCUCUCCACCUUCUUAAGAAGGGCUGGUGAUAGAAG